rnacentral:rRNA from 1 species
AGAGUUUGAUCCUGGCUCAGAACGAACGUUGGCGGCGUGGAUCAGGCAUGCAAGUCGAACGAAUCCCUGUAGCAAUACAGGGGGAAGUGGCGAAAGGGGCAGUAAGGCAUGGGUGACUUGCCCCGGACUUCGGGAUAGCCUUCCUAACGGAUGGGUAAUACCGGAUGACGUAGGAGACUACGAAAGCUCAGGCGGUCCGGGAGGGGCUCAUGUGGUAUUAGCUAGUUGGUGCGGUAACGGCGCACCAAGGCCGAGAUGCCUAGCAGGUGUGAGAGCACGACCUGCGCCACUGGCACUGUGACACUGGCCAGACUCCUACGGGAGGCUGCAGUCGAGGAUCUUCGGCAAUGGGCGAAAGCCUGACCGAGCGACGCCGCGUGUGCGAUGAAGGCCUUCGGGUUGUAAAGCACUGUCGAGGGGGAGAAAAGGCAACCUGAUCGACCCCUGGAGGAAGCUCGGGCUAAGUUCGUGCCAGCCGCCGCGGUAAUAC